CAAAAACAUAGCCAAAUGUUAUUAUAUUUGGUGUUUCCUGCUCAAUGAUGUAAUUAAAUAGCCGCAGUACCCUGACUGUGCAAAGGUAGCAUAAUCAAUUGGCUUAUAAUUGAAGUCUAGAAUGAAAGGAUAUACGGGUAGUUACUGUAUCUAAUAUUUAUAGCGAAAUUGGUUUUCAAGUGCAAAUACUUGUAGAUAAUUGUUAGACGAGAAGACCCUAGAAAUUUGUAUUAAUGUUUAGUUGGGGCAACGUAGUAGGAAGUAACCUACAAUAAAAGACAAGAAAAUAAUUCGGAAGAAAAAAUUACUCUAGGGAUAACAGCAUAAUUUAUAAAAGUUUGUGACCUCGAUGUUGGAUUUGGGAGUUAUAGUCCARAARAUUUUUAACAAUGCUCUGUUCGAGCAUAAUAC
rnacentral:rRNA from 1 species